rnacentral:tRNA from 1 species
UUUCCAUUAGAUGACUGAAAGCGAGUACU